GAUCUAGCUGCUAGAUGCUGACGAGUGGCGCACGGGUGCGUAACGCGUAUGCAACUUACCCUUAACAGGAGGAUAGCCUUUCGAAAGGAAGAAUAAUACUCCAUAAUAUUUUUAAGAGGCAUCUCUUAAAUCUUAAAGUUCCGGCGGUUAAGGAUAGGCAUGCGUCCUAUUAGUUAGUUGGUGAGGUAACGGCUUACCAAGACAUCGAUAGGUAGGGGGCCUGAGAGGGUUAUCCCCCACACUGGUACUGAGACACGGACCAGACUCCUACGGGAGGCAGCAGUGAGGAAUAUUGCACAAUGGACGAAAGUCUGAUGCAGCCAUGCCGCGUGCAGGAUGACUGCCCUAUGGGUUGUAAACUGCUUUUAUAUAGGAAGAAACCCAUCUACGUGUAGAUGGCUGACGGUACUAUAAGAAUAAGGACCGGCUAACUCCGUGCCAGCAGCCGCGGUAAUACGGAGGGUCCAAGCGUUAUCCGGAUUCAUUGGGUUUAAAGGGUCCGCAGGCGGGGAAAUAAGUCAGUGGUGAAAGCCUGCAGCUUAACUGUAGAACUGCCAUUGAUACUGUUUUUCUUGAGUGUAGAUGAAGUGGGCGGAAUGUGUCAUGUAGCGGUGAAAUGCAUAGAUAUGACACAGAACACCGAUUGCGAAGGCAGCUCACUAGACUAUUACUGACGCUCAUGGACGAAAGCGUGGGGAGCGAACAGGAUUAGAUACCCUGGUAGUCCACGCCGUAAACGAUGAUUACUCGGUGCUAGCGAUAUACUGUUAGUGCCUAAGCGAAAGCGAUAAGUAAUCCACCUGGGGAGUACGGUCGCAAGAUUGAAACUCAAAGGAAUUGACGGGGGCCCGCACAAGCGGUGGAGCAUGUGGUUUAAUUCGAUGAUACGCGAGGAACCUUACCUGGGCUUAAAUGUAUAUUGACAGACUGGGAAACCAGUUUUUCUUCGGACA
rnacentral:rRNA from 1 species